rnacentral:rRNA from 1 species
AGUGAACGCUGGCGGUAGGCCUAACACAUGCAAGUCGAACGGCAGCACAGUAAGAGCUUGCUCUUACGGGUGGCGAGUGGCGGACGGGUGAGGAAUACAUCGGAAUCUACUUUUUCGUGGGGGAUAACGUAGGGAAACUUACGCUAAUACCGCAUACGACCUACGGGUGAAAGCAGGGGAUCUUCCGACCUUGCGCGAUUGAAUGAGCCGAUGUCGGAUUAGCUAGUUGGCGGGGUAAAGGCCCACCAAGGCGACGAUCCGUAGCUGGUCUGACAGGAUGAUCGGCCACACUGGAACUGAGACACGGUCCAGACUACUACGGGAGGCAGCAGUGGGGAAUAUUGGACAAUGGGCGCAAGCCUGAUCCAGCCAUACCGCGUGGGUGAAGAAGGCCUUCGGGUUGUAAAGCCCUUUUGUUGGGAAAGAAAAGCAGCAGGUUAAUACCCCGCUGUUCUGACGGUACCCAAAGAAUAAGCACCGGCUAACUUCGUG